AGUGAACGCUGGCGGUAGGCCUAACACAUGCAAGUCGAACGGCAGCACAGUAAGAGCUUGCUCUUACGGGUGGCGAGUGGCGGACGGGUGAGGAAUACAUCGGAAUCUACUUUUUCGUGGGGGAUAACGUAGGGAAACUUACGCUAAUACCGCAUACGACCUACGGGUGAAAGCAGGGGAUCUUCGGACCUUGCGCGAUUGAAUGAGCCGAUGUCGGAUUAGCUAGUUGGCGGGGUAAAGGCCCACCAAGGCGACGAUCCGUAGCUGGUCUGAGAGGAUGAUCAGCCACACUGGAACUGAGACACGGUCCAGACUCCUACGGGGGGCAGCAGUGGGGAAUAUUGGACAAUGGGCGCAAGCCUGAUCCAGCCAUACCGCGUGGGUGAAGAGGGCCUUCGGGUUGUAAAGCCCUUUUGUCGGGAAAGAAAAGCAGCAGGUUAAUACCCCGCUGUUCUGACGGUACCCAAAGAAUAAGCACCGGCUAACUUCGUG
rnacentral:rRNA from 1 species